UUUGGCACUUGCACAAUAUUGAUUCGACGUAUCAAUUCUGGACAAGUGCCUAC
rnacentral:pre_miRNA from 1 species